rnacentral:rRNA from 1 species
GACGAACGCUGGCGGCGUGCUUAACACAUGCAAGUCGAACGAAGAGCGAUGGAAGCUUGCUUCUAUCAAUCUUAGUGGCGAACGGGUGAGUAACGCGUAAUCAACCUGCCCUUCAGAGGGGGACAACAGUUGGAAACGACUGCUAAUACCGCAUACGAUCUAAUCUCGGCAUCGAGGAUAGAUGAAAGGUGGCCUCUACAUGUAAGCUAUCACUGAAGGAGGGGAUUGCGUCUGAUUAGCUAGUUGGAGGGGUAACGGCCCACCAAGGCGAUGAUCAGUAGCCGGUCUGAGAGGAUGAACGGCCACAUUGGGACGGAGACACGGCCCAGACUCCUACGGGAGGCAGCAGUGGGGAAUCUUCCGCAAUGGACGAAAGUCUGACGGAGCAACGCCGCGGGAGUGAUGACGGCCUUCGGGUUGUAAAGCUCUGUUAAUCGGGACGAAAGGCCUUCUUGCGAAUAGUGAGAAGGAUUGACGGUACCGGAAUAGAAAGCCACGGCUAACUACGUG